CCUACGGGAGGCAGCAGUGGGGAAUCUUGCGCAAUGGGCGAAAGCCUGACGCAGCCAUGCCGCGUGAAUGAUGAAGGUCUUAGGAUUGUAAAAUUCUUUCACCGAGGACGAUAAUGACGGUACUCGGAGAAGAAGCCCCGGCUAACUUCGUGCCAGCAGCCGCGGUAAUACGAAGGGGGCUAGCGUUGCUCGGAAUUACUGGGCGUAAAGGGAGCGUAGGCGGAUAGUUUAGUCAGAGGUGAAAGCCCAGGGCUCAACCUUGGAAUUGCCUUUGAUACUGGCUAUCUUGAGUACGGAAGAGGUAUGUGGAACUCCGAGUGUAGAGGUGAAAUUCGUAGAUAUUCGGAAGAACACCAGUGGCGAAGGCGACAUACUGGUCCGUUACUGACGCUGAGGCUCGAAAGCGUGGGGAGCAAACAGGAUUAGAUACCCUGGUAGUCCACGCUGUAAACGAUGAGUGCUAGUUGUCGGCAUGCAUGCAUGUCGGUGACGCAGCUAACGCAUUAAGCACNCCGCCGNGGAGUACGUCGCGAGAAGUUAAAACGUUAAAGUAAGUUAGACGGCGUGAGACGUGCCGACGACGACGACGAGGGAGGAGG
rnacentral:rRNA from 1 species